ACACUCUAAAAAAAAAAGGUUCCUUGAGGUUCUAUAUAGAACCGUUGGGUUCUAUACUUGGCCAAUAGAACCUUUUACCAAAAAAAGGGUUCCAUAUAGAACCCUUGGAAGGCAAAGAACCAUUUUUAUUAAAAUGGUUCUAUAAUUCACGUUUUCUGACUGAAGUGUAAACUAAAGAUUACACAAUAAUUGCAGACCUACACAACUCAUUUACAAACCUACACAACUCAUUCACAAACCUUUUUGUGUCAAUUGGCUGUGGUCAAAAAAAGAGAGAGUCAACAAAUAGGCUAUUAAUAUUUAGUGUAUGAUUUAUUUCCUGUGAGCUUUUUUAUGCAAGUUUGUACAUUAGCAUGAAACUUACAGUGCAGUUUGCGUUUCUGGUGAAUUAUCAGGUGUUUUCUUUAUUUUGUACAUUCUAUAAUGUCAAUGUUUGUUUAAUUUAACCUGAAGGGGCAUUAAAAACAAAUAAUCGCAAAAGUGCCCUCUGGUGGCGUAUAUAUGCGUUGCACCAGAAGAUGAGCCUCGUGACGUGACAGUUUUUUUUCAAACUGAGGUGAGGAGUUCGGACUCCCGACCGGCAUUUCUGCUUGUUUGUACCCUGUCCCUGAGAUAACCAUGGUUAAAAAAUGAUCAGACACGUCACUGGCUUUAAAAUAUAAACCCCAUUGAUGCAAAAAGAUGCUACAUGGAAUGACAAUGAGGUUUGGAACAGACUUGGUGAAGAACAUGGAAACAUCUCUAAAUAAAAUGGCCCCAAACAUCAUCAGGAGUGCAAAAGAAGGAAGUAAAAAACAUCUCUACGCCAAUCUCAUUGGAGAGGAAACCACAGAAGGUCUGGUGAGGAAUGCUGCACUUAUGUUAUUGUCAGCAUUAUUUCAAGAAAAUCCCAGCUUCCUUGACUGUGUAAAUUGUGAACCCAAAGGUCCCACACCAACCAUAGUGUUCAACGGCUCUCCUGAUCUUCUCAAAUCUGAAAGUAUCAACUUUAUAAUGGACAAUGUGAACUUAAUAUGUGGAAGACAUUGACAUCACAGGCUGUGGAAUGACUGUGUCACAGGUUGGAGAAGCGGACCGCCCCUGUUGCGGAUCACGCUCCUCCUAGUUCCACCUCGAGCAGGUCCCAAAGCACCCCAAUGACCAGACAAACCAGAGAUAAGUAAAAUAUAAAAAUAGAAACAUUAUUUAAAUUAUUUAAAACUAAAGUGGGGAAUGGGAAAGGGAAUCUAAAAAUCUCCCUUCUCGCCCUCAGGGGGAGUAUUACGGGGCCAGGGACGUUGGAGGGGUUUCCACGUGACUCCACCUCGAACACCGCUACAGAGCGUAUCUGGGUGGGUUGGGCACACACUGUCGCGGCGGCCCCUGAUGGCAUCCACAAAGGUCCAAGACCCUCCUAAGCUCCCAGCCGUAGCAGAACUACGUAUUUCAGCACCCGAACGACUAACAACCCAGCCGGCAUCUGCAGCGUAUAUCCAACGCGAUCAAACUUCACUCUGACAAGUAACUUCCUAUACACAACCACGCCGUCCUUUCGCCCGGACCAGCCCCGCACUCUUUCCGCCCGCUACCUAGCGGUCGCCGGAUCAGCAGAGCCUGCGGACUCUUCGGAGGCUGGUCUUCGUUGUGCUGCCCAAGGCGGAAGUUUACUUCCAGUAACUUCUACCUUCUCUCUUUAUAUCCUCCUCCAUGGCGUGGCUCGCCCAACCAUCGCUCGCCACGUCACUCACACAGCUGUGCCUUGUUUCAGCGAGUGCGGGGAUUCCCGGGGAACCCAGAAGUGCCGGUGUCUGUACAAACCGGUCCGGGCGGAACCUCUUCACUCUCCUUUUGGUUCCGCCCCGCAUAGUCACUCCGUGACAACUGUUUGCGUUUUUUUUUCUCCUCAAUGUUCAAUACCCUUUUGCCAUUAAGCACACAGUGACUUUAAUUUAUAAAAUAUAUGCUUAAGUUUUAAUACCUGUACAAAACAAAUGUACAAUCAACUUGUGUAAAUUGUCAUUCUAUUUAAUAGAUUGUUCAUGAAUUGUCUUUAAAUGCAUUGUGAUUUCGGUAACACUUUACAAUAAGGUUCAUUAGUUAACAUUAGUUAAUGUAUUAACUAACUUGAACAAACCAUGAGCAAUACAUUUGUUACAGUAUUUAUUCAUCUUUGUUAAUGUUAGUUAAUUCAAAUUUAAGCUUUAAUUGCUUGUUCAUGUUAGUUCAGAGUGCAUUAACUAAUGUUAACAAGAUUUUAAUAAAGUAUAAGUAAUUGUUGAAAUUAACAUUAACAAAGAUUAAUAAAUGCUGUAUAAGUGCAGUUCAUUAUUAGUUCAUGUUAACUAAUGUAGCUAACUAAUGUUAACUAAUGAACCUUAUUGUAAAGUGUUACCGUGAUUUCUUUUCAUCAUUUCAGACACAUGUAAGUUACUAAAAAUUAGUACUGCAUAUACUGUACAGUAUCUAUGCGUAAGGGAAAUAACUUGAACAAAAUUUUUAAUGUAUAGUGUAAUUAAGAGUUUAGCUGUUUAAUACAGAGAUGCAAUUUAUUUAUAUAUAUAUAUAUAUAUAUAUAUAUAUAUAUAUAUAUAUAUAUAUAUAUAUAUAUAUAUAUGAAGAGUUUGGUUCCAAAACGCAAUAAAUCCAUUUUGACAAAUUUCGGUAAAAACGUGUUUUCUAUACCAAGAAAGUGACAAGAUGAAAACCAGUAUUUUCUGUUACAAACUUUCACACAGCAUCUUUAGGUUAUAAAAACAUAAAAAAUUCAAAUCCAUAACUUGAUUUUCAAAGAUUUAUUAUAAAAACGAAUUCUUUUUUCCACAAAAUGCAAUAAAUCCAUGACAGUUUUUUAUUUCAAAAUGCUAUAAAUCUAUUAAAUCAAUGUAUAAAUGUGCAUUCAUCUUUACCAUUUUAUAUUUAUUUAGUUGACUAGUGGUAUACAAUGAUUAAAAAAUAAACAUUAAUGGCAUUAACCAAAACACUUACUUUGUUAUAUUAAGAACACAAUGUUUUAGCAUGAGAAGCUUGAUGCUGUCUGGAGAGCAAGCAACCGAGUGCCUCUCGCGGAAAUUAUUAGCUGUUGAUGGCUUACGUUUCUUUCCCGUCACAGAAAACCAUCACAGGUUUGGCAAUGCUAUUAAAGUAUUAUUUUGUUUUGUUUGUUGAUCACGAAGUACAAAGUAGAUGAGGAAAACUAGGACUCCGUGUACUCAGCGCGCCGCCAUGUUUGUUUACAUUGCGUGAAUGGUCCGCUGUAAUAUCAGAAAUGGAUUUAUUGCAUUCUGUAAAAAAGGAGCAGUGGCGUUUGUCGCAUUUUGGGAAAAAAGGGAGAAAAGAUGACAGAAUAUCACGGCGGGUAUUGGAUUUUGCGUAAAAUUAAUUAUUUACUUUUAACUACUGACCUGAUAUAAUACUGAUUUUGGCAGUAACUCAUUUUUUUCAAAAAUGGCGUUUAUUGCGUUUUGGAACCAAACUCUUCAUAUAUAUAUAUAUAUAUAUAUAUAUAUAUAUAUAUAUAUAUAUAUAUAUAUAUAUUAUUUAUGUAUAAACGUAUGUAUGUUUAUUAAAAAGUGAAAAUGCUUAAUGGAAAUAAUUAAAUAACUAAAUGGUUGAAUGUAAUGAGACAUUUUAAAUGUAAACUAAAGUUUUGCUGUCUAAUACAGAAUAAAGAGAUGUGAUUUUAAGUAAUUUUUAUAGAUUUAUAUUUCUGUAUAAUAAAAUUAAUAAAUAAUAAACUUUUAUAAUUUUCUGGA